GGAUGCGAUCAUACCAGCACUAAAGCACCGGAUCCCAUCAGAACUCCGAAGUUAAGCGUGCUUGGGCGAGAGUAGUACUAGGUUGGGUGACCUCCUGGGAAGUCCUCGUGUUGCAUUCC
rnacentral:rRNA from 2 species